rfam:Oryza glaberrima chromosome 3 Oglab03_0144_8, whole genome shotgun sequence.
AAUAUGUACAACCAUGAGUUUUUAAAUCCAACUUUAAUCUCCCGUCUUAUUUGAAUUUUUUUAUGAUUAAUAUUUUUAUUUUUAUUACAUGAUAAAACAUGAAUAAUACUUUAUGCAUGACUUCUGUUUUUAAAAUUUUUUCAAAUAUUUUUAAAUAAAACAGAUGAUUAAAACUGGACACGAAAAAUUAUAGCUUUGCUUAAA